rnacentral:rRNA from 1 species
GACGAACGCUGGCGGCGUGCUUAACACAUGCAAGUCGAACGGAAAGGCCCUGCUUUUGUGGGGUGCUCGAGUGGCGAACGGGUGAGUAACACGUGAGUAACCUGCCCUUGACUUUGGGAUAACUUCAGGAAACUGGGGCUAAUACAGGAUAGGAGCCCCUGCUGCAUGGUGGGGGUUGGAACGUUUCGGCGGUUGGGGAUGGAUUCGCGGCUUAUCAGCUUGUUGGUGGGGGAGUGGCUUACCAAGGCUUUGACGGGUCGCCGGCCUGAGAGGGUGACCGGGCUCCAUGGUACUGAGAGACGGCGCAGACUCCUACGGGAGGCAGCGGUGGGAAGUAUUGCACAGUGGGCGGGAGCCUGAUGCAGCGACGCCGCGUUCGGAAUGACGUCCUUCUGGUUAUGAACCGCUUUCGGCUGUGACGAAGCGUGAGUGACGGUAAUGAGUGAAUAAGCACCGGCUAACUACGUG